UUCCCUAUAGCUCAGACAGUAAAGAAUCUGCCUGCAAGGCAGAAGACCUGGGUUCAAUUCCUGGGUCGGAAA
rnacentral:tRNA from 1 species